rnacentral:rRNA from 1 species
AGAGUUUGAUCCUGGCUCAGGAUGAACGCUGGCGGCGUGCCUAAUACAUGCAAGUCGAGCGAACGGACGAGAAGCUUGCUUCUCUGAUGUUAGCGGCGGACGGGUGAGUAACACGUGGAUAACCUACCUAUAAGACUGGGAUAACUUCGGGAAACCGUAGCUAAUACCGGAUAAUAUUUUGAACCGCAUGGUUCAAAAGUGAAAGACGGUCUUGCUGUCACUUAUAGAUGGAUCCGCGCUGCAUUAGCUAGUUGGUAAGGUAACGGCUUACCAAGGCAACGAUGCAUAGCCGACCUGAGAGGGUGAUCGGCCACACUGGAACUGAGACACGGUCCAGACUCCUACGGGAGGCAGCAGUAGGGAAUCUUCCGCAAUGGGCGAAAGCCUGACGGAGCAACGCCGCGUGAGUGAUGAAGGUCUUCGGAUCGUAAAACUCUGUUAUUAGGGAAGAACAUAUGUGUAAGUAACUGUGCACAUCUUGACGGUACCUAAUCAGAAAGCCACGGCUAACUACGUGCCAGCAGCCGCGGUAAUACGUAGGUGGCAAGCGUUAUCCGGAAUUAUUGGGCGUAAAGCGCGCGUAGGCGGUUUUUUAAGUCUGAUGUGAAAGCCCACGGCUCAACCGUGGAGGGUCAUUGGAAACUGGAAAACUUGAGUGCAGAAGAGGAAAGUGGAAUUCCAUGUGUAGCGGUGAAAUGCGCAGAGAUAUGGAGGAACACCAGUGGCGAAGGCGACUUUCUGGUCUGUAACUGACGCUGAUGUGCGAAAGCGUGGGGAUCAAACAGGAUUAGAUACCCUGGUAGUCCACGCCGUAAACGAUGAGUGCUAAGUGUUAGGGGGUUUCCGCCCCUUAGUGCUGCAGCUAACGCAUUAAGCACUCCGCCUGGGGAGUACGACCGCAAGGUUGAAACUCAAAGGAAUUGACGGGGACCCGCACAAGCGGUGGAGCAUGUGGUUUAAUUCGAAGCAACGCGAAGAACCUUACCAAAUCUUGACAUCCUUUGACAACUCUAGAGAUAGAGCCUUCCCCUUCGGGGGACAAAGUGACAGGUGGUGCAUGGUUGUCGUCAGCUCGUGUCGUGAGAUGUUGGGUUAAGUCCCGCAACGAGCGCAACCCUUAAGCUUAGUUGCCAUCAUUAAGUUGGGCACUCUAAGUUGACUGCCGGUGACAAACCGGAGGAAGGUGGGGAUGACGUCAAAUCCCAUCAUGCCCCUUAUGAUUUGGGCUACACACGUGCUACAAUGGACAAUACAAAGGGCAGCGAAACCGCGAGGUCAAGCAAAUCCCAUAAAGUUGUUCUCAGUUCGGAUUGUAGUCUGCAACUCGACUACAUGAAGCUGGAAUCGCUAGUAAUCGUAGAUCAGCAUGCUACGGUGAAUACGUUCCCGGGUCUUGUACACACCGCCCGUCACACCACGAGAGUUUGUAACACCCGAAGCCGGUGGAGUAACCUUUUAGGAGCUAGCCGUCGAAGGUGGGACAAAUGAUUGGGGUGAAGUCGUAACAAGGUAGCCGUAUCGGAAGGUGCGGCUG